rnacentral:lncRNA from 1 species
UGUUUUUAAAUUUUUAUGUAAUUUUUUUUUAUGUUUUAGGUGUUUUUAAAUUUUUAUGUAAUUUUUUUUAUGCUUUAGGUGUUUUUAAAUUUUAUGUUUAAUGGCGUAUUUAACUAAUGUUAUUACAAAAAUAUGUUAUUUAAAUUAUGCAAAUAAAUUUAAAGGAAAAACAUAAAAAUCAAAACUAAUGUUAUCAAAUAGGCUAUCAAGGAACCCCAUUGCGGAUGCUCUAAGGAGAGUAUGUUAUUAUCUUAUUUAG